rnacentral:ribozyme from 1 species
UUUUUUUUUUUUUUUUUUUUUUUUUUUUUUUUUUUUUUUUGCUGUUUGUUCUUCUGAAGAAACGG